rnacentral:tRNA from 1 species
GGCCUGAUGGUCUAGGAGUAUGAUUCGUUGUUAGGGCUUUGAGCGCUUAUCUUUGAGUCUUUCGACGAGGUCCCGGGUUCAAUUCCCGGUCAGGCCC